AUGCAAGUCGAGCGCCCAGCAAUUGGGAGCGGCAGACGGGUGAGUAACNCNGUGGGGAUCUGCCCAAUGGUACGGAAUAACCCAGGGAAACCUUGGAUUAAUACCCGUAUGUGCCCCUUCGGGGGAAAGAUUUAUCGCCAUUGGAUGAACCCGCGUCGGAUUAGCUAGUUGGUGUGGUAAAGGCGCACCAAGGCGACGAUCCGUAGCUUGGUCUGAGAGGAUGAUCAGCCACACUGGGACUGAGACACGGCCCAGACUCCUACGGGAGGCAGCAGUGGGGAAUAUUGGACAAUGGGCGCAAGCNUGAUCCAGCCAUGCCGGGGUGUGUGAUGAAGGCCUUAGGGUUGUAAAGCACUUUCGCCGGUGAAGAUAAUGACGGUAACCGGAGAAGAAGCCCCGNNUAACUUCGUGCCAGCAGCCGNGGUAAUACNAAGGGGGCAAGCGUUGCUCGNAAUCACUGGGCGUAAAGCGNACGUAGGCGGGUCGUUAAGUCAGGGGGNNAAAUCCCUGGAGCUNAACCUCCANANCUGCCCUUGAUACUGGCGAUCUUGANUUCGAAANAAGGUUGGNGNNACCUGCNAGUGUAGAGGNGAAAUUCGNAGAUNUUCGCAANACCACCAGNGGCGAAGGGGNCCAACUGCU
rnacentral:rRNA from 1 species